GAUGAACGCUGGCGGCGUGCCUAAUACAUGCAAGUCGAGCGAACAGACGAGGAGCUUGCUCCUUUGACGUUAGCGGCGGACGGGUGAGUAACACGUGGAUAACCUACCUAUAAGACUGGGAUAACUUCGGGAAACCGGAGCUAAUACCGGAUAACAUGUUGAACCGCAUGGUUCAACAGUGAAAGACGGUUUUGCUGUCACUUAUAGAUGGAUCCGCGCCGCAUUAGCUAGUUGGUAAGGUAACGGCUUACCAAGGCAACGAUGCGUAGCCGACCUGAGAGGGUGAUCGGCCACACUGGAACUGAGACACGGUCCAUACUCCUACGGGAGGCAGCAGUAGGGAAUCUUCCGCAAUGGGCGAAAGCCUGACGGAGCAACGCCGCGUGAGUGAAGAAGGUCUUCGGAUCGUAAAACUCUGUUAUUAGGGAAGAACAAAUGUGUAAGUAACUAUGCACGUCUUGACGGUACCUAAUCAGAAAGCCACGGCUAACUACGUG
rnacentral:rRNA from 1 species